GCUCAUUUCAGCAGAACAUAAACUAAAAUUGGAACAAGAGAGAGAUUAGGACAAUUCCAGCACAAGGAUGACAUGCAAACUCAGGAAGCAUUCCAUUGUACC